rnacentral:rRNA from 1 species
UGGAUCCAGACUUUGAUUCUGGCUCAGGAUGAACGCUGGCGGCGUGCCUAAUACAUGCAAGUCGAACGAAACUUCUUUAUCACCGAGUGCUUGCACUCACCGAUGAAGAGUUGAGUGGCGAACGGGUGAGUAACACGUGGGCAACCUGCCCGAAAGAGGGGGAUAACACUUGGAAACAGGUGCCAAUACCGCAUAACCAUGAACACCGCAUGGUGUUCAUGUGAAAGGUGGUUUCGGCUACCGCUUUCGGAUGGGCCCGCGGCGCAUUAGCUAGUUGGUGGGGUAAAGGCUUACCAAGGCAAUGAUGCGUAGCCGAACUGAGAGGUUGAUCGGCCACAUUGGGACUGAGACACGGCCCAAACUCCUACGGGAGGCAGCAGUAGGGAAUCUUCCACAAUGGGUGAAAGCCUGAUGGAGCAACGCCGCGUGGGUGAAGAAGGUCUUCGGAUCGUAAAACCCUGUUGUCAGAGAAGAAAGUGCAUGAGAGUAACUGUUCAUGUUUCGACGGUAUCUGACCAGAAAGCCACGGCUAACUACGUGCCGGCAGCCGCGGUAAUACGUAGGUGGCAAGCGUUAUCCGGAUUUAUUGGGCGUAAAGGGAACGCAGGCGGUCUUUUAAGUCCGAUGUGAAAGCCUUCGGCUUAACCGGAGUAGUGCAUUGGAAACUGGGAGACUUGAGUGCAGAAGAGGAGAGUGGAACUCCAUGUGUAGCGGUGAAAUGCGUAGAUAUAUGGAAGAACACCAGUGGCGAAAGCGGCUCUCUGGUCUGUAACUGACGCUGAGGUUCGAAAGCGUGGGUAGCAAACAGGAUUAGAUACCCUGGUAGUCCACGCCGUAAACGAUGAAUGCUAAGUGUUGGAGGGUUUCCGCCCUUCAGUGCUGCAGUUAACACAAUAAGCAUUCCGCCUGGGGAGUACGACCGCAAGGUUGCAACUCAAAGGAAUUGACGGA